rnacentral:rRNA from 1 species
GGGAAUAUUGCACAAUGGGGGAAACCCUGAUGCAGCAACGCCGCGUGAAGGAAGACGGUUUUCGGAUUGUAAACUUCUGUUCUUAGUGAAGAAAAAUGACGGUAGCUAAGGAGCAAGCCACGGCUAACUACGUGCCAGCAGCCGCGGUAAUACGUAGGUGGCAAGCGUUAUCCGGAUUUACUGGGUGUAAAGGGCGUGUAGGCGGGAGAGCAAGUCAGACGUGAAAUUCCAGGGCUCAACCCUGGAACUGCGUUUGAAACUGUUCUUCUUGAGUGAUGGAGAGGCAGGCGGAAUUCCGUGUGUAGCGGUGAAAUGCGUAGAUAUACGGAGGAACACCAGUGGCGAAGGCGGCCUGCUGGACAUUAACUGACGCUGAGGCGCGAAAGCGUGGGGAGCAAACAGG